rnacentral:lncRNA from 1 species
GCAAGGUGGUCAUUGCAUGGCAUCGUGGCUAGCGUGGCGGCUCCAGCAUCAAGGUGAGUAAUCCCAUGGCUGAGCGAGCAGUGAGCACAAAGUCCAGCCCAUUGUUCUAGGCUCUGCCCUCAAGUGCAACUCGCUGGACUCGCUCAGGAAUUCACUGAACUCAACAGAUCCUGUUACCUGGACUGAGGAAGGAAUACAGUCUGCUACUAGCAGGUAACCAAUGGGUUUGAUUUGUCAGCUCGUGCAGCACAAACAUUUCCCAGUAUAUCAACUU